ACCGACCCCUCGUGCGGCGGUAUUCCUGCCGAACUCCCCCAGGGCCGGAAGGCAGCAAGGGUAAGCGGGCCCUGCCGGGUGCACGAGGGGUCCUUUCA
rnacentral:SRP_RNA from 1 species